rnacentral:rRNA from 1 species
GGCUUAAUUUGACUCAACGCGGGAUAACUCACCAGGUCCAGACUUAGAAAGGAUUGACAGACUGAUAGCUCUUUCUUGAUUCUAUGGGUGGUGGUGCAUGGCCGUUCUUAGUUGGUGGAGUGAUUUGUCUGGUUAAUUUCGUUAACGAACGAGACCUUAUCCUGCUAAGUAGUACUGAAAACAAUGCAGUUUGAAAGUGAUCUUCUUAGAGGGACUUUGUGUGUUUAGCACGAGGAAGUGUGAGGCAAUAACAGGUCUGUGAUGCCC